AGAGCUCGCUCCCUUGGCUUCCCUUAUUUUUAACAUCAGAAACAGACAUUAAACAUCUACUGAUCCAAUUUCGCCGGCGUACGGCCACGAUCGGGAGGGUGGGAAUCUCGGGGGUCUUCCGAUCCUAAUCCAUGAUGAUUACGACCUCAGUCACUAAAGACGAUGGCAUGAUGAUCCGGCGAUGAAAAUAGCCAAAUGCCUCGUCAUCUAAUUAGUGACGCGCAUGAAUGGAUUAACGAGAUUCCCACUGUCCCUAUCUA
rnacentral:ncRNA from 1 species